rnacentral:snRNA from 1 species
AUUGCUUCUCGGCCUUUUGGCUAAGAUCAAAUGUAGUAUUUGUUCUUAUCAGAAAACAAUUUUCUGGCCAGGCGCGGUGGCUCAUGCCUGUAAUCCUAGCACUCUGGGAGGCCGAGGCAGGUGGAUGGUUUGAGCUCAGGGGUUCGAGACCAGCCUGAGCAAGAGCUAGACCCCCUUCUCUACUAAAAAUAGAAAGAAAUUAGCUGGACAACUA